rnacentral:tRNA from 1 species
GGCCGCGUGCCCGAGUGGACUAAGGGGGCGGAUUGCAAAUCCGCUAGGCUUUGCCUGUCGUGGGUUCGAAUCCCACCGCGGGCU